rnacentral:rRNA from 1 species
AUUGAACGCUGGCGGCAUGCCUAACACAUGCAAGUCGAGCGGAUGAAGGGAGCUUGCUCCUGGAUUCAGCGGCGGACGGGCGAGUAAUGCCUAGGAAUCUGCCCGGCCGUGGGGGAUAACGUCCGGACACGGGCGCUAAUACCGCAUACGUCCUGAUGGUGAAAGUGGGGGAUCUUCGGACCUCACGCUAUCAGAUGAGCCUAGGUCGGAUUAGCUAGUUGGUGGGGUAAAGGCUUACCAAGGCGACGAUCCGUAGCUGGUCUGAGAGGAUGAUCAGUCACACUGGAACUGAGACACGGUCCAGACUCCUACGGGAGGCAGCAGUAGGGAAUAUUGGACAAUGGGCGAAAGCCUGAUGCAGCAAUGCCGCGUGUGUGAAGAAGGUCUUCGGAUCGUAAAGCACUUUAAGUUGGGAGGAAGAGAAGUAAGUUAAUACCUUGCUGUUUUGACGGUACCAACAGAAUAAGCACCGGCUAACUUCGUG